UACAGAGGUGGCAAGCGUUGUUCGGAAUUACUGGGCGUAAAGGGCGCGUAGGCGGUUCGUUAAGUCCUGUGUGAAAUCCCCCGGCUCAACUGGGGAACUGCACAGGAAACUAGCGGGCUUGAGUUCGGGAGAGGGAAGCGGAAUUCCAGGUGUAGCGGUGAAAUGCGUAGAUAUCUGGAGGAACACCGGUGGCGAAGGCGGCAUCCUGGACCAACACUGACACUGAGGAGCGAAAGCCAGGGGAGCAAACGGG
rnacentral:rRNA from 1 species